GGCCUCAUGGUGGAAUUGGUAGACACGUCAGAUUUAAGCUCUGAUGUUCCGAAAGGGACGUGUGGGUUCGAGUCCCACUGAGGCUA
rnacentral:tRNA from 1 species